rnacentral:rRNA from 1 species
UACGAAGGGGGCGAGCGUUGUUCGGAUUUACUGGGCGUAAAGGGCGCGCAGGCGGCUACAUUUGUCAGGCGUGAAAGCCCCGGGCUUAACCUGGGAACUGCGUUUGAUACGGUGUGGCUAGAGUUCGGGAGAGGAGAGUGGAAUUCCCAGUGUAGAGGUGAAAUUCGUAGAUAUUGGGAAGGAACACCGGUGGCGAAGGCGACUUCCUGGCCUGUUCUUGACGCUGAGGCGCGAAAGCUAGGGGAGCAAACGGG